UCUCCAACACCCGUGGUCUAAAUCUUUGGAGAAGAUAUGUCUCUUUUCCAAGGUCAGUAUUCCCAGUUCUCCCUGUGAAUGCCCCACCUCCCUUGUGCAGUGCUGCUCUGGCUGCCUGGUCUGGCCAAUUUGCCAGAGUCUCUCUGGAUCAUUACCCUGCUGAGCCUCUUCCUGGAAAACUCCAGGAAGUGUGGGCAAGAUGGAGUUGGAGGCGGGGUCAGGCUCUCUUUAUUGAGCUACUCACUUGUUAAUUGUCUCAUCUGCCUUUGUCCUUAAUAAGGAUGGGAUGUGCACAUAAAAGGACAUAGGAAUGCUUUGUGAAGACACCCACUUUUCCAGCAAGGUUUGGAAUGUGGCUUCCCUCAAGCAGUGGAAUCUGGAUUGGUCAACGUGAGGCGAAACAGACAUCGCACGUGUCUGUGCACGUGGUGCCGGCACACUCUGCCUCCAGAAGGAUGAGAAGAAUGAAGAGAUCUGGCUUCAGAAACCAUGGGCCAAGGGCCAAGGCCAAAGAUCUCUCGGUUGGCAGAGAAGUCCAUGAGCAGCCCAGGAAGAAUGAAGCUGAAUUCCACGGCUGGGCUUUAUGGCAACAUUGCUGCAUUGCUUCUUCUCCCUGAUUGGUUCAGGCCUUUUCAGAUGCCCCAGGCAGUGCCUGGAGCUGAGUCAGCCUGAGCUCCCACUGGCAGUUUGCUGGGUUCUGUUCAUUUCUAAGAAGAGCUUGGACCACAGGGUAGAGAGCAAGCCUCAGAGUUUGACUUCAAAACACGUCUCUGACACGUCCUGACUGUGGGAUCCUGGAUGACAUGCCCGGCUGCUCCAGUUUGACCACGCUCGGAUCCACCCUCCAGGAACUGGAUCGAUGCCCAUCAGUUGGGAAAUGGCUGAAGAAGACUGCGGAUCCACUGGCUUCUGAAUCUGGACAGUGUGGCCAAUGCUGCUGUAUUUUGGCUAAGAGCCUCCCAGUAGAUUUCUCCAAGGUGUGGAUGCCACUGCAUCCUGGGUCUCUGCCCAGCAUCUGCUCACAGCCACCUCCCUCCCAUGCCCGAUUGAAACAGACCUUUUCUGAAGUUCUUCCAAAAUAUCUUCUGCUGGAAAUUUGUUACACUCCAAAUAUUUGUGGGUUCUGUCACCACUCCAAUAGCCAUUCAGAGGCUUGAUCUGGUGCUGAUCUGAGAGAAGCCUGGAAAAGUUCAGGCAGAGAGCUGUUUACUCCCUGCCAUCUUGGCUCUGGCCCCAGAAGGCUUUUGUUAUAGCACAAAAAUGCAACUGUAGAUAAUAUACACAAAGGCAUGCAGCAGGUCCAUGAAAAUGAAAAAGCAGAGCAAUGUAUAAGAGAAAAACAUUAGGAAAAAAAUGAGUUGGAUGAGGAUUGCCCAGAUGAGGAGAACAACACAUACAAACGAGAAGAGAAGAUACAUUAGGACUAAUUUAAUAAGCUAUCAUGUAAUAUGGCUGGCUGCCUGGGCAGGGAAGGUCUCAAAUCAAGGAGGUGAUGACCACUUGUGGAAGACCUUACGAUGAGCUUUCCUGGACAAACUUGCUAUUUGGCCCCAAUGGGUCCUGAACUUCCUUCCAAAUCUGAGUCUAACUACUGAAGUUCUUUUGAGUCGGAGCUGAUAUGAUAAAACCCCUUGGACUAUUAUAAAGGACAGUCCAGAGAUGGAAGAAACUGGUCACAAGGAGACCACUUCAGAGGCAGUUCCUAAAGUCCAGAGUAGGGUGAUAAGGUCCCAAAUUAGGCUUUGAGAAGAGAUGGGAGUGGUAAGAAAUGUGUCAAG
ensembl:lncRNA